AUGCAGUUGCAAUUUUUGGCAAGAACAUGGCAGCUCUGUAAGAAUGUUCCAACUUACCAAACAUUGAUUUUUGAGAAAAUACAAUUGAAAAAAAAUACUAUCACUUCAGCUAAGAAGAUCCAUAGCCUUCUGAAAUCUGAAGCACACUGUCUUCUCUUCAGUUUCUUGAUCCUCUGUUCAGCAGAUAGGCAAGGGCUCACCGUUCCACUCUUUGAGGCACUCGAGCAGCGCGUCGAUGUGCUUGCCCUGGUUCAUGGCGACGAACACCUUGUCCACCUCUUCCCCAGGAGACCGCGUCAUCUCUCCAGUCAAGUACUCAGUCCCAAGCUCCUUGCGCACAAACCGGUAGAGUGGGUACGACCGGCAUUCGGUGAUACGGUUCUGCUGCGCGGCGGUGCCGUUCUCCACUGA
rnacentral:rRNA from 1 species